GGCUCCGUAGCUUAGCAGGUGGAGCGUCCGGCUGUUAACCGGAAGGUCGGCAGUUCGAGUCUGCCCGGAGCCG
rnacentral:tRNA from 1 species